GAUGAACGCUCGCGGCAGGCCUAACACAUGCAAGUCGAGGGAGGAGCCCUUUCGGGGGCAGAAACCGGCGCACGGGUGCGUAACGCGUAUGCAACCUACCUUUCACAGGGGGAUAGCCCGAAGAAAUUUGGAUUAAUACCCCAUAAUAUUAUUGGAUGGCAUCAUUUGAUAAUUAAAACUGCGGUGGUGAAAGAUGGGCAUGCGUCCUAUUAGCUAGUUGGAGUGGUAACGGCACCCCAAGGCUACGAUAGGUAGGGGUCCUGAGAGGGAGAUCCCCCACACUGGUACUGAGACAGGGACCAGACUCCUACGGGAGGCAGCAGUGAGGAAUAUUGGUCAAUGGUCGGAAGACUGAACCAGCCAUGCCGCGUGCAGGAAGAAUGCCUUAUGGGUUGUAAACUGCUUUUAGAUGGGAAGAAUAAGGUGUACGUGUACAUUGAUGACGGUACCAUAUGAAUAAGCAUCGGCUAACUCCGUG
rnacentral:rRNA from 1 species